rnacentral:rRNA from 1 species
AACUAUGUGCCAGCAGCUGCGGUAAUACAUAGGUCGCGAGCGUUAUUCGGAUUUAUUGGGCGUAAAGCAAGCGCAGGCGGAUGGAUAAGUUCUGUGUGAAAAGCAGCUGCUCAACAGCUGUUUGCGCCGAAUACUAUACAUCUAGAAUACGGUAGGAAGUUUUGGAAUUGAAUAUGGAGCGGUGGAAUGUGUAGAUAUAUUCAAGAACACCAGAGGCGAAGGCGAAAACUUAGGCCGCUAUUGACGCUUAGGCUUGAAAGUGUGGGGAGCAAAUGGGAUUAGAUACCCCAGUAGUCCACACCGUAAACGAUGGGUAUUAAAUGUUGGGGCUGGUGCCUCAGCGUUGUAGCUUACGUGUUAAAUACCCCGCCUGGGUAGUACAUAUGCAAAUAUGAAACUCAAAGGAAUUGACGGGGACCUGAACAAGUGGUGGAACAUGUUGCUUAAUUCGAUAAUACACGAAAAACCUUACCAAGAUUUGACAUCCCUCGCGAAGCUUUAGAGAUAAAGUGAAGGUUAUCGAGGUGACAGGUGGUGCAUGGUUGUCGUCAGCUCGUGUCAUGAGAUGUUGGGUUAAGUCCCGCAACGAGCGCAACCCUACUCUCUAGUUGUUUGUUUAGAGAGACUGAACAGUAAUGUAUAGGAAGGUCGGGAUCACGUCAAAUCAUCAUGCCCCUUAUGUCUUGGGCCGCAAACGUGUUACAAUGGCGAGCACAGCGUGUCGCAAAUCAGCGAUGGUAAGCUAAUCACUAAAAACUCGUCUCAGUCCGGAUAAAAGGCUGCAAUUCGCCUUUUUGAAGUUGGAAUCACUAGUAAUCCCGUGUCAGCUAUAUCGGGGUGAAUACGUUCCCAGGUCUUGUACACACCGCCCGUCAAACUACGAGAGGGAGGGGCAUUCGAAAAUAUAUUUAUUUAUGUCCAGAAUGAAUCUCCUGAUUGGAGUUAAGUCGUAACAAGGUACCCGUACGAGAACGUGCGGGUGGAUAAUCUUCUUUGUUGAAUAGUCAUUAUUUAGUGACUAUAUGUUGAAUUGGUUUUUACUUGAAAAGUCUUUGCUUAUAGAUUAGUAUGUAAAGAAAACUCAAGGCGGAUGGCUUUCAGUUUUGAG